GGAUGAAUCACCGUGAAGGUUCCUGAUCCAAUAUCCACCGCACGAUGAAGCCGACACCUCAGAUCCAACGGCAAACGAAUGAAAACCCAAAUGCAAUGCAAAUCUAAGAUCCCCUAUGCCCCAACUUCUUCAUUUUUUCCAAAAAAAAAAAACAAAAACUUCAUUUCGCCGUGGAGCGCGUUGCGUUUUCUCUUCUUUCUCGUGCCAUUAUAAAGAAAACAAACAACCCACGACGCACCCUCCCUCCGUUGCCAGUUAUCAAUCUAGAGUGAGAAAGCUCACUAGUUCUAGAGAGAGAGAGAGAGUAAUUGAUCAAAUUUUGGUGGAUCUAUAUCCUGCGCUGUGUGCUGCUAUGGCGGGAGGGUCUCUCGCAUUCAAACUAUGGAUCGGCGUCUGUGCUUUGCUCUUCGUCAAUUGUCAUUGCUUUUAUCUCCCUGGUGUCGCCCCUGAGGAUUUCCUUAUGGGAGAUGAAUUGAAGGUGAAAGUAAACAAACUGACUUCUACAAAAACACAACUUCCUUAUUCCUACUAUUCCCUCCCUUACUGUCCUCCAAAGCAUAUAGUCGAUAGUGCUGAAAAUCUUGGGGAAGUUCUCCGUGGUGAUCGCAUUGAAAACUCUCCUUAUGUUGUAAGCCAAGUGUCUUGAGUAGCUUUUAUUGCUUUGUGUAUGAGAAUAUGGCUACUGCUUGGUUGACAGAAGCUUGUUAUUGCAGUUUAAGAUGAGAGAACCACAAAUGUGCAAAAUUUUAUGCCGUAUUACACUUGAUGCGAAAACUGCAAAGGAAUUCAAGGAAAAGAUAGAUGAUGAAUAUCGGGUGAAUAUGUGAGGCAUUCAUUUAAGGGUGUUUAGUUAUAUUCAUAUAUUUAUAUAUUGUGAUACAGCAAAUAACGUGCUAUCUGUGGGGUAAUUUGUGUGAUACAUCAUGCUCUGUUUUCCAACAGGAUCUUGGACAAUCUUCCUUUGGUUUUCCCUAUUCCAAGGCUUGAUCAGGAAAAUUCCAUAGUGUAUCAACAUGGCUUUCAUGUUGGUCUCAGAGGACAAUAUGCUGGAGUAAGUACUGGAUCAAUCACAUUCAGAUUUGAUAAUUUCUUAAAACAUUGCUGUGUAUUUGUGCAAUUCAUUUUUAUCACUUUAUAUGCAUGAUUCUUUUGCAGAGCAAAGAGCAAAAACAUUUUAUUCACAAUCACUUAGCAUUUACCGUCAAAUUUCACAAAGACGCUCAGACAGAUUCAGCCAGGAUUGUUGGAUUUGAAGUAAAACCAUUCAGUGUUAAGCAUGAGUUCGAAGGUGAGUGGAAGAAUGAGAAUACACGUUUAACGACCUGUGAUCCCCAUGCAAAACGAUUGGUCACCAACUCAGAAACUCCUCAGGAGGUGGAGGUUAACAAGGACAUAAUUUUUACAUAUGAUGUUGAGUUCCAGGAAAGUGAUGUAAAGUGGGCAUCUAGGUGGGAUUCCUAUCUUCUGAUGGCUGAUGAUCAGAUUCACUGGUUUUCAAUUGUCAACUCAUUGAUGAUUGUUCUUUUCCUUUCGGGAAUGGUGGCUAUGAUCAUGUUGCGGACACUUUACCGGGAUAUCUCCAAGUACAACCAAUUAGAGACGCAAGAAGAAGCCCAAGAAGAGACUGGGUGGAAAUUGGUCCAUGGGGAUGUUUUCAGGCCUCCAUCAAAUUCAGAUUUACUCUGUGUCUAUGUUGGGACAGGGGUUCAGUUUCUUGGGAUGAUUCUUGUUACCAUGAUCUUUGCUGCCCUUGGUUUCCUUUCCCCUUCAAACCGAGGUGGGUUGAUGACAGCCAUGCUCCUACUCUGGGUAUUUAUGGGCCUGUUUGCUGGAUACUCUUCAGCUCGUCUCUAUAAGUUGUUCAAGGGAACAGAAUGGAAGAAAAUCACCCUCAAAACCGCCUUCAUGUUUCCUGCAGUAGUCUUUGCCAUUUUCUUUGUAUUGAACGCUUUAAUAUGGGGUGAGAAAUCCUCUGGGGCAGUGCCAUUCGGAACCAUGUUUGCACUGGUAUUUUUGUGGUUUGGUAUCUCAGUUCCGCUCGUCUUUGUUGGUAGUUAUAUUGGUUUCAAGAAGCCAGCAAUUGAAGAUCCAGUGAAAACUAAUAAGAUACCGAGGCAGAUCCCAGAACAAGCCUGGUACAUGAACCCAGCCUUCUCUAUCCUUAUUGGAGGCAUUCUCCCAUUUGGCGCGGUGUUUAUCGAGCUAUUCUUCAUCCUUACGUCAAUAUGGUUGCAUCAAUUCUACUACAUUUUUGGUUUCUUAUUCAUUGUCUUUAUCAUCCUGAUAAUCACUUGUGCCGAGAUCACAAUUGUGCUUUGCUACUUCCAGCUAUGCAGUGAGGACUACCUCUGGUGGUGGAGGUCAUACCUGACUUCAGGUUCCUCUGCGCUUUAUCUGUUCCUUUAUGCUGCUUUCUACUUCUUCACAAAGCUUGAAAUUACAAAGCCAGUUUCUGGGUUGCUGUACUUUGGGUACAUGCUGAUUGUCUCAUAUGCUUUCUUUGUGCUGACUGGUACCAUUGGCUUUUAUGCCUGUUUCUGGUUUACCAGGCUCAUCUACUCAUCAGUGAAAAUUGAUUGAUCCAUCAAUCCAUGCUUCUUUGAGUUUGAGAUGGCCAGCUUUUUUCCACAUGAUGAAGCACAUACUGUUUGGACAGGAUCAGGGAUGUUUGAUAUUGGUAGUUAAAGAAUUUACCAUUCUGGUUCAGUGUUGAAUUGUUAAGAAUUAUAAGAAUUUUUAUUAGCAUUUUUCAUACAGGUUCUUUGGCAGGUUUAGUUCUUUUAUGGUUUACUUCUUAUUAUGUUUCACUGUUUUGUUUUGUGACAUCUGGGGGAAUUGUUGAGCAGUCAGCCUGUCCUUCCUAUUCUAGAAAUGAAAAACGAUUCUUGUAUCAUUGAUGCUAGUUCCUGUUCAUUCUAUUUGUGGUUUCCAAUAUAUUGGGAAUCAAUAACCUGUACUCUCUAUAAAAGAAAAUAGAAACCAAAUUCAAUUCUGC
rnacentral:misc_RNA from 1 species